rnacentral:lncRNA from 1 species
UUCUUUCAAUAUUAUCAUGUGUAUUCCAGAAUUUAUUAUUGUUUCACUUUCAAUUAGUACCUUGUUUAAAAUAUUCUUAAAAAGUUUUUCUUUUCUUUUAAUUUAGAAGAACACUUUUGAAGACAAAUACAAAGAUUGCAGAAGGGUAGGUAUAACUGUAUAUAAAAAGUCAUACAAUUUAUAAAAUGUCUCCUAAACUUGACUUUUUAAGAUAUCUUGUAAAAGUAUUAAGAUAUCUUGUAAAAGUAUUAAGAUAUCUUGUAUAAUAUAUUUUAUAUCGUUCAUAAACUUUACAAGAUAUAUCUCAUAAACUUCAGAAGAUAUAAGAUUUUCAAGAUAUCCAAUUAGGAGAUAAUUGUAUUGAAUUUGAAGAUUUGGAGCCAUCAAUCAUGGAUUUGAUGGUUGCAAAUUGAGUUAACUGGCGAUGUGCAUACGGAGCCAGUAAUCAGAUAUUUGUGACCAUCAAAUAAAAAAACAGGGAUAUAACUAGUGAGCAAUGUUUUAUAUUGUUUCUAUCAGAAUUCAUUAAGUAUCCAAUCUUUUGUAGGCACUUGAUUAAGUACCAGGGAAACCUUAAAGUGUGGACACAAUCCUUGAUUUAGAUGUCACCAAGAAUAAAGAAGCAAUCACCAAUAUUACAAGUUUUACACAACUUGAGAUUUGAGAGCAGUCAUUUGAGGAUGUGGCAGGCA